AUGCGGCAGUCGUACUCUGUUCUGUAGGGUCACUAUGAGUUGGAAUCUGCUUGAUGGCAACAGAAAUUUCCUGGCUAUUACUGUUUAUUUUUUCAUACAAACUUUAGAAUGACCUUAUUCUUUCUGGAAAAAAAAAAAUGACUUCGUUUGGGAUGCCAUUUACAAAUUAACUUAGAGAAGAUUGUCUUUAUGGUGAGUUUUCCUAUCUAAGAACAUAGUAUGCUUUUCUAUCUGUUCAGGUUGUCUUUCAUGCCCUUUAGACAUGUUUUAAAAGUCUUCUUCAUAUGAUCCUUGCAUAUUUCUCAUUAGAUGCUAUUCUUUCUAAUUCUGUUAUGGCUCAGCACAUGUGAUGCUGAGAAAGAAGGACUUGUAGCUGCUUUAACCCUGAUUCUACCUCUAGAUUCCUGCAAGAUUAGAAGAAAUAGACAGAUGAUGCAAUAAGAAGGCAGGUAAAAAUCAGGGGACAGGUAGGUAGAUGUAGCAUUUGGGUACUAACUAGCUUUUGCUAUCCUGUCCAUUAGAAAGCCACCAGAUUUGUCUGGCACACACAGCAUAGGAAAAGCACAAUGUAUAAAGAUAUGCCUUGGAUGGCAGGACCAUUAUCAUUUAAAAACAGAAAAGAAAUGCAGCUAAGAGUUUUUAUUCAUAGGCUUUGCUGCAUCUGUCCUAAAUAACAGUGACUUUAGUGACUUUCUCACACAAACGAGUUCUGAUUAUAGGAACUUCCAACAUUGGUAUGGUAAUUCCAUAAAUAAGUGGUCCAGACUCCUUAUUUCUUUUUCCUGUGCUAUUCUUAGAAUGUGGUUUCCAUUCUCAAGUUUGCCUUGUGGUUCAAGAUGGCUGCUAACAUUCUCGCUGUGUCCACAUUUCAGGCAAAAAAAAAGGGAUCAGGGCAAAAAGUGAGUGCCUCCAAGCUAAUUCAACCCUCUUCUAAGACCUUUUCAGAAGCUCCACACUUUCUCGUUUCACCUCAUUAUAUCUGUAUAAGAGGCUGCUCCCAAAUAAGGAUUUUGUUACUACGGAAGAAAGAGACAGUGGAUAUCACGGAGGCAACUUCUUGUCCCCAUCAUAAGAAGUAAACAUAUUUUCAUUUUCUCUUCUAAGUGUGUUGAGAAGGAAGAAGGAAAAUACCAAGAAGGAAAUAUGAAAGUGAUUAUUUCUCACACGUUUAGGGUAAUUUAAGACGACCUAGUGUUCAGCAGGAAACAAACCCUGGUGGUGUAGUGGUUAAGCACUACGGCUGCUAACCAAAAUCUGGCAGUUUGAAUCCACUAGGCACUCCUUGGAAACUCUAUGGGGCAGUUCUACUCUGUCCUGUAGGGUCGCUAUGAGUCGGAAUUGACUCAACGGCAACAGGUUUUUUAGUGUUCAGCAAAACCUGAACAGGAAAUCAUUGCUUUGGUUGUGUAGUUUUUUGACUCCAAAAUGUUUUGAAGACUAAUUGAACCACACAUCCUCUUUUUCUUCCUCAGAGUUGAGGAACCCCAGUGAGGAAUUAAAAUACAGUCCCCAAACGGUACAGUUGUACAGUUUGAUUAAAAUGUCGUCCCUGCCUUUGGCAACGACAAUCUAGUGUGGGAGGUAGAUAAAUAAAGAGAUGCUCUAGUUCGGGCUGAUGAGUGAUCUGAGAGAGGUGAGCACAGGCUGAAAGGAAGUACGUAAUAGAAGCACCUGACCAAGGGUGAUGGGAAAGUGGUAUCAGGAAGGGAUUGUUGUUAGCUGCCAUCGAGUGGGCUCCAACUCACGACGACCUUAGGUGUAACAGAACAAAACAUUGCCUGGUCCAAUGCCGUCUUCAUGGUCACUGGUAUGUUUGAGUCCACUGUUUUGGUUAUUGUGUCAGUCCAUCUCACUGAGAUGUUUUUGGUCAGGAAUGGGAGGGAGUGAUGAAACUUGAGCUGAGUUCUGAAGGACAAGUUGCCACGUAAGGUGUGAAUAGACAGAGGGGAAGAGGAGGAGGUGGUGGGAAGAUAGAAUUAGUUGGCUAGAGAGAAAAGCUGGUGAGCAGAAAACUUGCCCAGGAGGAGAGCAGCAUAUGUGAAGUCUUGAAAGUGAAAGAGAGCACAGUUCCUUUAAGAACUUUGUCAGGUCUUACAUCUAUCCUCAAUUAAGAAAGAGAUGAGGGUGAAGAGGACCAAACUAAUUAAUUUUUACUUUAUCCUUCAGUGCAAGAGUCAUUGAAGGAUUUGAAGCAGAGAAGCGAUGUGCUCAGAUUUGCAUUUUAGAAAGAUUAUUUUAGAGGCACAGUGAGAAUGGAUUGGAAGUCAGCAAAAUCCAAGAAAAGGGGCAGUAUAAUCCAGACAAGAAAUAAUGAGGGCCAGAACAGUUUGAGAGUGGGAGUGACUUUUGAGUAAUUAAGAGAGAAGAUCUCCAGGCCUUGGAACUGAAUGAAUCAGGAAGUGAGAAAAAUGGGGCAAAUAAAGGAAGAUGAUUUCUGGUCUGCUAUUAUGGAUUGAAUUGUUUCCCACCAAAGUAUGUGUUGUAACCCUAACCCCUAUAACUAUGGAUGUAAUCCCAUUUGGGAGUAGGGAUUUGUUAUGUUAAUGAGGCCAUAUCGGUGUUGGGUGUGUCUUGAGCCAAUCAGUUUUGAGAUAUAAAAGAGCAGAUUAGGCAUAGAAGAAAGCAAGCACAAAUGGGAAAAGAUUGAUACCACAUGGAAAUCACCAAGGAACCGAGGAAGAGAAGCUGAAAGAGACAAAGAUGUUUCUCCAGAACUGACAGAGAGAGCCGUCCCCUAGUGCCGGCACCCUGAAUUUGGAUUUCUAGCCUCCUAAACUGUAACAAAAUAAAUUUCUGUUCACUAAAGCCAUGCACUUACAGUAUUUCUGUUAUAGCAGCAGUAGGUAACUAAGAAACCUGGGCAAACUGUGAAAAACACUGUUAUUCAUUAACAUAUGGAAAACAGAGGGGAGAUAGAUUUUGUAGAGAAAAUAAGAUACUCAGUUUUAUGUGGGAUAAGUUUAAGGUGCUAAUGGGACAUAUCUGUGGAAUUAUACAGGGUUCGAAAUUUGGGAAAAGAACUGAGCAGGAGAAAUGAAUUUAAAGGCAGUUCAAGCCAUGUGACUAAACCAGGAUGAGUAGGUAGAGUGAAAAUAGGAGACAAUUUUGAGUACCACAACACUUAAGAAGAGGAAGAUGAAUGAAUAAAAGAUCCAGAGAAGGAGCAGAAAACAUGUGGAAGUAAAACAAGAUGAGAGUAGCAUUGUGGAAACCAAGGAAGGCAUUUCAGAUGCUACAGAUAUCAAGAAGAUUAAGAGCUGAAAUAGCCGUUGAGUUUAGCAAUAUAAACAUCACUGAGGACCAGUGCAGGGUAGCUUUGGUGGGAUGGUGGGAGCAGAAGUCAGAUUAUAGUGGGACAAGGAGUGAAUAUCUAAGGAGGAAGAUAAAUGUAAAAUGCUUUCAAACAGUGAUGCUCAUUGGAUUAGGGAGAAGCAUACAGCUUUUUAAAGAUGAAGUGUCUCGCGCAAGUUUAAAUGCUGAUGGGAAAGAGCCAUUAAAAGGUGGGAGGUGAUAUAGGCAAGAGGGGAUAAUCAAGGCAAGCCUCUGAGAACUCAGAAGCAAGAGUAAUCCAGAGCACAUAUGAAAGGAUUAACUUUGAAGGAGGAGGAACAGAUCUUUCAGUAGAGUGGAGGAAAGGAAACCUGGAUAGAUAUGACUAAGAGGUUUAUAGUGGGAAGAGGGCAUCAAAGAGAGUCACAAUAGUUUCUAAUGGCUAAUUGAGGAGAGAACUAAGAACAGAUUUUGAGUCAACCCUACAGCCCUGUGAGGAUGGACACCUCAAUUUGUAGUUCCUUCAAUCACGGGCUGUCAUUUUCUCCUGUAGUGCUUAGCAAUUCAGGUGUAAGGUGGCCCUCGUGCACAAUUUGAUUCUUUCAGGGUUGAAGUUCUCCUAAUGGGUAUGAAAGGAGGAAAAAUAGACCAGGAAAGACAAGGGCCUUGUUGGUUUGGACAGUAAAGUUCUUAGAUUGGAAAGGAAGAGAAGAGUAAAAGAGACCAAUUGAGGAGAAAUCUGUAAGGAUGGACAUGAGAUUAGAUCUUGUUGAUAUUCUAAAAUUAAUCAUAAUCAAAAUGAGGACAACUGGAAGUUUGAUUAUAGAGGGGGCUUUGCAGUACUAUGAUUCCUCUGUCAAGUUCAAGAUUGACAACGAUAUUUAAGUGAAUGUUAAAUUGUCAUAACUUCCUCCACAAUAAUUUUGCCUCGUGAAUUAUCAAUUAUUAUCAUAAGAUACUGAUAUUUUAUUUAAAAUAUUUUCUAAAGUGCUUAACAUAUAAAAUAUUGUUUUAGUAGGCCCAGUAACUGUGGAAUUAUGAAAAUGAGGCAUUAAAGUAUAGCUCAUUUCAUUUGAUGUUUAAGAUUCUUAGUUGUGCUGUGGUUUAGUGUCCCUCUUUUAUACCCACUUAAGAUAAAUAUUUUUUAUUUACAAGUGAUCAUUUGCACUUUAGAUGUUUUCUAAUGAUAUAUUUCAAAGACUGGAUUGGACCCAUUGUUAUAAUAGAUUAUUUCCAGUAUUUCUCUUAGAAUAGUGAUUCUUUUUGUUAUAGAAUGGGAUGUUCUUGGUUAAAAAAAAAAAAAAAA